rnacentral:misc_RNA from 1 species
GAUGAAGAACGUAGCGAAAUGCGAUAAGUAAUGUGAAUUGCAGAAUUCAGUGAAUCAUCGAAUCUUUGAACGCACAUUGCGCCCGCCAGUAUUCUGGCGGGCAUGCCUGUCCGAGCGUCAUUUCAACCAUCAAGCCCCGGGCUUGUGUUGGGGACCUGCGUCCGACGCAGGCCCUGAAAACCAGUGGCGGGCUCGCUGUCCACACCGAGCGUAGUAACUAACCUCGCUAUGGAGUGGCGCGGGCGCCUGCCGUAAAACCCCCAAUUUCACAAGGUUGACCUCGGAUCAGGUAGGAAUACCCGCUGAGCUUAAGCAUAUCAAUAAGCGGAGGA